rnacentral:snRNA from 1 species
AUCUUUGCGUGGUGGCGGUAUCGUAGCUAAUUCGGUUUAUCCGAGGCGCGAUUAUUGCUAGUUAAUAAAUAUUUUUAAAAAAG